GUGUGUGUGUGUGUGUGUGUGUGUGUGUGUGUGUGUGUGUGUGUGUAUACGUGCACACACACGUUCACAAGUGC
rnacentral:miRNA from 1 species